rnacentral:rRNA from 1 species
UACGUAGGCAGCGAGCGUUGUUCGGAGUUACUGGGCGUAAAGGGUGUGUAGGCGGUUGUUUAAGUUUGGUGUGAAAUCUCCCGGCUCAACCGGGAGGGUGCGCCGAAUACUGAAUGACUAGAGUGCGGGAGAGGAAAGUGGAAUUCCUGGUGUAGCGGUGAAAUGCGCAGAUAUCAGGAAGAACACCCGUGGCGAAGGCGGCUCUCUGGGACGGUACUGACGCUGAGACGCGAAAGCGUGGGGAGCGAACAGG